AGCUGUUGGAGGUUGCAGAUUCAUCGCAGAAGGUGGAGAGAUUUGGGAGAUCGAUGAUCGAAAUUGCGUCAAGUCGGAAGUGAGAUCCAGCGCCCUCGCGUAUGCAGUGGAAAAUGAGAUGGAGAGAUUUCAGCGCAAUAACCCAAUUUUGUGUGCGAUUGAUGCGUCGAGAAAUGGCAGAUACACAGGUGGAUGCGGAGACAUAGGAGGACGAAGUUAGGUUGAUGAUUUCGGAGAGAAGCUUGUCGUCGACCAAUUCUAGGGUAUCGUGAGUGGUGGCUUUCAAGACGAGAAGGUCAAAAUGGGCGGAGAGAGAUCCGGUCGUCGUUUUCGACACGAGUGCGAGACCGAUUCUGGUUUGGUCUGUUACAACUCCUAAUGCUUUCUUUAACUUUGUCGGCAUUAUUGAUCGAUCGAUCAGGCGGAUCCCUCCGGUGAGUUUAUAUGCAAUGAGAAUCGAUUGAAAUUCACACUACAAAAAACACCACCGGAGGAUCGAUGGAUUUUUUCGAUUUGGUGUUGGGGGUUGGUUUGUUUUCUUCCCUCUUUUUUCUUUCUCAA
rnacentral:lncRNA from 1 species